GACGAACGCUGGCGGCGUGCUUAACACAUGCAAGUCGAACGGAAAGGCCCUGCUUUUGUGGGGUGCUCGAGUGGCGAACGGGUGAGUAACACGUGAGUAACCUGCCCUUGACUUUGGGAUAACUUCAGGAAACUGGGGCUAAUACCGGAUAGGAGCUCCUGCUGCAUGGUGGGGGUUGGAAAGUUUCGGCGGUUGGGGAUGGACUCGCGGCUUAUCAGCUUGUUGGUGGGGUAGUGGCUUACCAAGGCUUUGACGGGUAGCCGGCCUGAGAGGGUGACCGGCCACAUGGGGACUGAGAUACGGCCCAGACUCCUACGGGAGGCAGCGGUGGGGAAUAUUGCGCAAUGGGCGGAAGCCUGAUGCAGCAACGCCGCGUGCGGGAUGACGGCCUUCGGGUUGUAAACCGCUUUCGCCUGUGACGAAGCGUGAGUGACGGUAAUGGGUAAAGAAGCACCGGCUAACUACGUG
rnacentral:rRNA from 1 species